CCCUUUGGUCUUGGGAUUAUCUAACAUUAUUGGGCGAAAAGGAGUUGGAGAAAAAAUAUAUAGAGAUAUGCUUGUGUUUUUCGGUGGAACUCCAGAAAGUAUAUCGUAAUCGAAUCGGUACGAUUUGUGUAAUGUAAUAUUUUUUUUACAAAAAUAAUUAAUUUUUUUUUGUUAUUAUACUUUUUUUACUAUAGAUAACGUAUCUGUCUGUAAUUCCAAACGAAGUUUUAGAAGGUGAAGGUCAUUGAUCCAAAAAGCCUAAGCUCAUGUAACUAUCUCAAAAUUCUCUCCCUCCCUCUCUCUCUCUCUCUCUCUCUCUCACACACACACACACACACACAACUGCUACUUUACACAUUAUGUUGCUAAUGACUAGUGAGACAUGAAAGUUUGAGGGUGAAUCCUUUGAAAAGUAAAUAAAGUGAAGCACACAACUCAUGCAUUAUCAAUCCAUAUUAUCUCUACAUGCAUCCUCAAAAUUCUCUCUCUCUCUCUCUUACACACACACACACACAUCACACACACACACAAAUGCUACUUUACACAUAAUGUUGUUAAUGACUAAUGAGACAUGAAUGUUUUAGGAUGAAUCCUUUGAAAAGCAAAAGAAGUGAAGCACACAACUCAUGCAUUAUCAAUCCAAAAUUCCCUCCCCUCUUUUCCAGGUGGGGGAGGCACAUGCAUGUGUAAAGGACUACACUUUUUCUCUUCAACCCCACCCCCCACCACCACCCCCCACCACUUGGUUUCUCUCAAAUCAAAACAUCUCCAUUUUGGUGCACCUCUCAUCUUGUUGAAGAAGCCANCCUCUAGAAUAUCCCUGAAUACAUACAAAUAUAAAUUUACAAUUGUUCUAUCUUGUACCAGAAUAUCCCCUGUUCUCGGUAACAAUAAAAGUUGUUAUUUAAAAUUUAGUUUUCCAACCAAACACAGCCGUAAGUUAUCGCUAAAAGUAUGCUUUGGUGUUAUAAGUCCAGUUGUCUUUCAUGCUCUUGUGGGAAAUUUUAUGGAUAUCAAACAGCUUAUGUUUUCUAGGCUAAAUUAUAAAAAGCCCCUUAAAUUAAACCACUUAUCUUAAUUAUCCUCAUGCAUAAAAAGGUACAUCCAUUAUCUCUCUACAUUUUGACAUUUUUUUUUGAGAAUAGGUAGCACGCUACCUACUUCAUUCAUUGAAGAUAUGAAUUAGGCUACAGGGGUGAGACAGCCAGGACCUCGAGGAAAAACGAACCGCAUAAAAAAAAUAAAUAAAAAAAUCAAAGGAGGUCUUUCCAAAAAUCAAUCAGCUGCUUGAGCCUUCCCACCACUAAAACAGGAUCAUCUUUAUACCACGAAAGAUAAGGUUGUUCCUGGCCUUCUAUAAUCUUAAAUAAAUCCGCCUAUUCGGAAUAAUUGUUGAAUUCAACUAUAAAACUUUAUAAAAGCACAUUUGCAGAUAAAAUUAUGUGCAAGUAAUGCAAAAGAAUCAUAAAAAUUGAAUAAAUUGCUAGAUAAACUAUCAUUUUUGAUAGUAUUAGAAAAAUAGAGGAUCUCAUUUAUCUAAAUUUUUAUAUUUUUUUUUGAGUUGCAAGUUGGGUAUUUACUGAGAUGUGAAACAAUAUGAUAUGCUAACUCGUUUUAGUUAAGUUUUACAGCUUAAUUUGUUAGUUCUUUAAUUUUUUGGAUCUAUUUGAGAUGAAGACGAAACAUAGGAUGGUAAUUAGUACAAUUUUUAAUACAAGAGGAUAAUUGAGGCUGAGGUUAUAACGCACAAAUUUUUUUUUGUAAAAUUUAGUUUUUUUUACCACAUCUUUUAGUGCAGCAUAAAAUGCUAUUCUGAAAAUCAGACCAAAUAUACACAAAGUAACAGUUCACAUUUUCUAGAAGAAUUUAAAUGUAAAUGCUCUUUUAUGUUUUUAUUAGAUACAACAUAAUAUGCCCAAUUUUGCAUUUUUUAUGUCAUCCAAAGGCAAAGCAAGGAGCAUCAUUCAACACAGCCAAGAUAUGUUUGAUAGUGGAGCUGAAAAACCCAAAAAAGGAAAAAAAGAAAAAGAAAAGAAGAGAGAGGAUGAAAAAACAAAAAAUAAAAAGAAAUAAAGAAAAGGACAUGCAUGACUUGAUUCCUUGGGAGGUGGAAACUGUGGCCACCAAUCUCAUGCUGCCCCCUCUUUUGUCCUCACAUUGCUGAAAUUUUAUGCAGCCCCAUCACUUCCCAAGAGAGCAGUCUUCACCAAACACCCCUCCCCCACCUCCCCUCCCUCCCUCCCUGCUUUUCUUUCUUUGGGCUUCUCUACCUUUCUCCUACUGCUUUUUUGGCUUUACCACUACUUUUUAUUUACUCAGCUUCAACUUUUCCCUUCUCCUCUUAACUCUAACUCUCUCUCUUUCUACAUUACUCUCUCCUCCACCUCUCUUUUGCCCCUUCUCCCUCUCUCUCUCUCUCUCUCCAUUCUUUGCAGUAAUGCUCCCUCCUCCACCUCCAUCUCUUGAAGAGGAGAUUACUUAGAAAGAAAUAACUUCAAUGGCUACAAGGGUUAUUAGGGCUCAUCAUGGCCUCCUCCUCCUCUUCUCUCUCCUCCUAUCCCUUCAGUCUGCUUGCUCUUCAGGUCAGUACAUCACUCAUUCUCCUCUCCCUUCCUUUCCCUUUCUUUCUGUUGCAUUUUUUUUUUCUCUUAUUGAGCUACAAACAACAACAACAACAAAAGACAAGAAGAGACAAAGAAAGAGAGUUUCUCAUUUACUCCUCUUUGAUAGCUACUUUAAGAUUGGCAUAAACCACUUUCCCCUUCUGAUAUACCACAACUGUUUCAAAAUCUCAGUUUCAUUUUUCAUUUUCUUCUUUCUUUGGUGUUUCCAGGAGCCUUUGUGGGAUUUUCAUAUGAUGCAAGGGAAGAGAGGCCUCAAUCUUCUUCACCUUCACCCACAGAAGCACNCUCUUCAACCCCACCCCCCACCACCACCCCCCACCACUUGGUUUCUCUCAAAUCAAAACAUCUCCAUUUUGGUGCACCUCUCAUCUUGUUGAAGAAGCCACAAAUGUGUAAUCCUCUUUUUUUUUUUUAAUAUGUUUUUUACAUAUUUUUUAUUGGACAUUUCAUGUUGUUUGUGAAAUCCUACAACUAAAGAAAAAAGAUCAUUAAUUUAAACACUAUUCUUUCCAUAACAAAAUAUUUCAUGUGCUAAAUUUUACUUGUAUUGCGAAUCGCAUAAAAAUCCGAUCUACGUUCCUAUCGAUAGAAAAUGUGGGAGAUUUUUGCAAGCUAAAUCAUGAUUUCGAGAAUUUUUGCAGAAAUACUGUUUGAGCAUAACUCGUCUAGAAGUCUUUACUAAUUUUCAUUUAUUUUUGUUAGCUUCGGGAGCUAGAAGUGUAAGUUAUCGCUAAAAGUAUGGAUAUAAAACGAAUUGGGCUGAAAUACCAUUAAUAGUAUUCGGCUUUUUUUGCUAUUAAGUUUUUAACCAUUGGAUGAAAAAUUAUAGGGUUUAGUAGUGGUCCCCCCUAGGGUUGAGUGAGUGGUUAGUUGAAUAGUAUGAUCUAAAAGAUAAGACUAAUUAAAGUGUAGAUCUAACGAUUAAAAAAUCGAUAGCAAAAGAGCCCAAAUACUAUUAAUAAUAUUCUAGUUCAACUUGAUAUCAAGCAGCCUAUUCUUUUUAGGGGCUAAAUUAUAAAAAGCCCUCUCGAAAUCUACCACUUAUCUUAAAAUUCCUCAUGCAUAAAAAAUUACAUCAAUUAUCUCUAUACAUUUUGUCGUUAUCUUAAAUAAAUCCACCUAUUUGGAAUAAUUGUUGAAUUUAACUAUAAAACUUUAUAAAAGUACAUUUGCAGAUAAAAUUAUGUGUAAGUAAUGCAAAAGAAUCAUAAAAGUUGAAUAAAUUGCUAGAUAAACUAUCAUUUUUUAUAGUAUUAGAAAAAUAGAGGAUCUCAUUUAUCUAAAUUUUUUUUUUUUUUUUUUGAGUUGCAAGUUGGAUAUUUACUGAGAUGUGAAACAAUAUGAUAUGCUAACUCGUUUUAGUUAAGUUUUACAGCUUAAUUUGUUAGUUCUUUAAUUUUUUGGAUCUAUUUGAGAUGAAGACGAAAUAUAGGAUGGUAAUUAGUACAAUUUUUAAUACAAGAGGAUAAUUGAGGCUGAGGUUAUAACGCACAAAAUUUUUUUUGUAAAAUUUAGUUUUUUUUACCACAUCUUUUAGUGCAGCAUAAAAUGCUAUUCUGAAAAUCAGACCAAAUAUACACAAAGUAACAGUUCACAUACACAAAGUAACAGUUCACAUUUUCUAGAAGAAUUUAAAUGUAAAUGCUCUUUUAUGUUUUUAUUAGAUACAACAUAAUAUGCCCAAUUUUGCAUUUUUUAUGUCAUCCAAAGGCAAAGCAAGGAGCAUCAUUCAACACAGCCAAGAUAUAUUUGAUAGUGGAGCUGAAAAACCCAAAAAAGGAAAAAAAGAAAAAGAAAAGAAAAGAGAGGAUGAAAAAACAAAAAAUAAAAAGAAAAAAAGAAAAGGACAUGCAUGACUUGAUUCCUUGGGAGGUGGAAACUGUGGCCACCAAUCUCAUGCUGCCCCCUCUUUUGUCCUCACAUUGCUGAAAUUUUAUGCAACCCCAUCACUUCCCAAGAGCAGUCUUCAGUCUUCACCAAACACCCCUCCCCCACCUCCCCUCCCUCCCUCCCUGCUUUUCUUUCUUUGGGCUUCUUCUCUACCUUUCCCCUACUGCUUUUUUGGCUUUACCACUACUUUUUAUUUACUCAGCUUCAACUUUUUCCUUCUCCUCUUAACUCUAACUCUCUCUCUUUCUACAUUACUCUCUCCUCCUCCUCUCUUUUGCCCCUUCUGUCUCUCUCUCUCUCUCUCUCUCUCUCUCUCUCUCUCUCCAGUAAUGCUCCCUCCUCCACCUCCAUCUCUUGAGGAGGAGAUUACUUAGAAAGAAAUAACUUCAAUGGCUACAAGGGUUAUUAGGGCUGAUCAUGGCCUGCUCCUCCUCUUCUCUCUCCUCCUAUCCCUUCAGUCUGCUUGCUCUUCAGGUCAGUACAUCACUCAUUCUCCUCUCCCUUCCUUUCCCUUUCUUUCUGUUGCAUUUUUUUUUUCUCUUAUUGAGCUACAAACAACAACAACAACAACAAAAGACAAGAAGAGACAAAGAAAGAGAGUUUCUCAUUUACUCCUCUUUGAUAGCUACUUUAAGAUUGGCAUAAACCACUUUCCCCUUCUGAUAUACCACAACUGUUUCAGAAUCUCAGUUUCAUUUUUCAUUUUCUUCUUUCUUUGGUGUUUCCAGGAGCCUUUGUGGGAUUUUCAUAUGAUGCAAGGGAAGAGAGCCCUCAAUCUUCUUCACCUUCACCCACAGAAGCACUAUCUUUCCUCCACAAGAACAGACUCUCCCCUGCUCAGUACAGAAUCUUCCUCACAAACCCACAACCCUUCUUACAUCCACUGUCCAAAUCUGCUGUCCCUGUUGAUCUGUUUCUGAAACAGUUUGACAC
rnacentral:lncRNA from 1 species